CAUGUUUAUCACGUUAUCAUGUUUAUCACGUUUAUCAUGUUCAUCACGUUUAUCACGUUUAUAAUGUUUAUCAGGUUUAUCACGUUUAUAAUGUUUAUCAGGUUUAUCACGUUUAUCAGGUUCAUCACGUUUAUCACGUUUAUCAGGUUUAUCACGUUUAUCAGGUUCGUCACGUUUAUCAGGUUUAUCACGUUUAUCAGGUUCAUCACGUUCAUCACGUUUAUCACGUUUAUCAGGUUUAUCACGUUUAUCACUGAGUAAAUACGUCAUCGCGACACAGAAAGACAGCGUGUAUUGUUUUGGCACAAUGAGAUGACUGAAGAACUGAAAAUGAGUGUGUCUGAGGGAACAUGGAUCACAGCGGUUACUGCGGUUACUGCGGUUACUGCAUCUCUGUGGAAAAUGACCAAAUGUUUCGGAGAAAUAUAACAGGAAUGCUUAUGUACAGGAAAAUAAUGGCUCUCUAUUGUAAAUUAAUUAAAGAUUUAUUGUAAACAAAUCAAAGACGGUCUGUUGUAAACACAUUAAGGCGGUCUGUUGUAAAUAAAUUAAAGGCGGUCUGUUGUAAAUAAAUUAAAGGCGGUCUGUUGUAAAUAAAUUAAAGGCGGUCUGUUGUAAAUAAAUUAAAGGCGGUCUGUUGUAAAUAAAUUAAAGGCGGUCUGUUGUAAAUAAAUUAAAGGUGGUCUGUUGUAAGCACAUUAAAGGCGGUCUUGUAAAUAAAUUAGGGAUGGUCUAAGAGAAAUGUACGGUGGUCUAGGGAAAAUAAAAUGUAGUCUUUUAUUCCUAGUGUAGUGCUCUCCAGGAGUUCAGUGUGUAGGUGGAGUGUCUAAUCAUUUUUAGAUCAACACAACAUCUGCAGGGCUGCUGAGUCUGUGAACACACACACACACACACACACACACACACACACACACACACACACACACACACACACACAGGAAGUGGUUAAAGACUUCGGAAACAUUGCUGCACAGUGCGUUCAUAUGAGUCCAUACACACACACCUAGACACACACACACACUCUUGGAAUUGAUGACAUGUAGCCACAUCCUCUCAAUCAAACAGCAGCAAAAAUCAUUUGGAGUUUUUUUACACUGUUAUAAAAAGGAACGUUUCUG
ensembl:lncRNA